CCCCCAUUUGCAGGAUAAAGAGGUGUAAAUCUAAAUGUAGCAUAUAUACUUGUGUAUAAAGUCGAUCUCAUGUAUAAGUCGAGUGCAGUUUUGUGACCAACAAAAAUGCUAUGCCUCGUGGAUAAGUCGAGGGUAAAACUUGGGGCCAUGAAGUUCUGUGAUUUUUAUAAUUAUAUACACACACACACUCAUACAAACACACACACUGCAUUAUAUACACACACUCAUACAAACACACACAC